rnacentral:rRNA from 1 species
AGCGUCGGGCCCAUACCCGGCCGUCGCUGGCAACAGGAGCCUCGGGGGCUAUGCCGCGAUGAGUAGGAGGGCCGCCGCGGUGAGCACGGAAGCCUAGGGCGUGGGCCCGGGUGGAGCCGCCGCG